GGAGUUAGCCGGUGCUUCUUCUGUGAGUGAUGUCCUUCCUGCCGGCUAUUAACCCGCAGGCCUUCUUCCUCACUGAAAGUGCUUUACAACCCGAAGGCCUUCUUCACACACGCGGCAUGGCUGGAUCAGGGUUGCCCCCAUUGUCCAAUAUUCCCCACUGCUGCCUCCCGUAGGAGUCUGGGCCGUGUCUCAGUCCCAGUGUGGCUGAUCAUCCUCUCAGACCAGCUACGGAUCGUCGCCUUGGUGAGCCGUUACCUCACCAACCAGCUAAUCCGACAUAGGCUCAUCCGAUAGCGCGAGGCCCGAAGGUCCCCCGCUUUCCCCCGUAGGGCGUAUGCGGUAUUAGCCUGGGUUUCCCCCAGGUUAUCCCCCACUACCGGGUUUCAGAUUCCUAUGCAUUACUCACCCGUCCGCCGCUCGCCACCAGGGAGCAAGCUCCCCGUGCUGCCGCUCGACUUGCAUGUGUUAGGCCUGCCGCCAGCGUUCAAUCUGAACCAAGAUCAAAUUCUGA
rnacentral:rRNA from 1 species